rnacentral:rRNA from 1 species
AUGAACGCUAGCGGCAGGCUUAACACAUGCAAGUCGAGGGGUAUAGUUCUUCGGAAUUAGAGACCGGCGCACGGGUGCGUAACGCGUAUGCAAUCUACCUUUCACAGAGGGAUAGCCCAGAGAAAUUUGGAUUAAUACCUCAUAGUAUAGCAGUUUCGCAUGAAACCACUAUUAAAGUCACAACGGUGAAAGAUGAGCAUGCGUCCCAUUAGCUAGUUGGUAAGGUAACGGCUUACCAAGGCAACGAUGGGUAGGGGUCCUGAGAGGGAGAUCCCCCACACUGGUACUGAGACACGGACCAGACUCCUACGGGAGGCAGCAGUGAGGAAUAUUGGACAAUGGGCGCAAGCCUGAUCCAGCAAUGCCGCGUGCAGGAUGAAGGCCUUCGGGUUGUAAACUGCUUUUGUACGGAACGAAACGGUGAGCUCUAAUACAGUUUGCUAAUGACGGUACCGUAAGAAUAAGCACCGGCUAACUACGUG